ACUUGCAGACGAUGAUUAGAAGCUUUGCUUCCAAUGGAAUGCACGAAGCAAUGACUGCAUAAUGCAUUCUUUGUUUUAAAAACAAAACUGUGCAAUAAAAAUUGCACAAAACUUGUUCGAUAUCUAAUCUACCUUUGGUGGCUUCAGCUUACCUGACAGUUCAUUUAUGUAUCCACAUUGCUAGGAAGCAUAUCAUCCGUCUAAUCCAAACAUAAACUAUUCUCGUUGUUGAAACUGGUGACGCACAAGCUGACGUAACGUUAGUGGAGACUUCAUCUCAAAAAACAGCCUGCAUGGGCUAAAAUCCCGGGGGGCGCGUAUGGCUCGUAUCAUUUGCGAGGCACGCGACGGGAGCCUUGAGGAGCUUUCCAUGCUAAAGCGCCUCUAAACCCAGGUCUCACUUGGAGAUCGAUCUCACUCGGAGAUCAUGAGUCUGUUGUAGAGUGGCGUCAUUUUACGUCCAGUCCACCGAACCAGUGUGCACAAUUGCUGGCGGUGGAUACCAGACUCCCCCCACGGGUCGUCAUGUGCGAGGCAAGGUCGGGGAUAAGAUAUCACGGCAGCAAUUGAAGAUAAAUUGAGAUUCUUUAUGUAAAUGCUAUUAGGCUGCUACAUUUGCACAAUGAGUGAGUGCAAAGCUCCUCUUUAAUUGAUAUUUUUCAUUAUUCAAGCAUACUAUUACCUAAUACGUCUGAGUCUACAUUCACUUUAUUCACGAAAAUGCUUCAAAAUCGCGUUUUUCGUCGGUAAAUAGCAUUGUAACCUUGCGUCAGUUGACACACGCUUUCACUGCCGCAUCCGGACUCUCAGUGCAUAUUUGUCUAUGCAUCAUGAGCUUAAGUAUUGUUUCCUUUUUCGUUAGAUCAAGCUUCAACUUCUAGCGCUUAAUCGCUCAUGCCAAGCAAAGUUUGCGGACUUGUUAAAGGUUAAAAGAAAAUAUAUUUCCUUCAACAGAUGUGUAUAAAAUGAGGCUGCAAAUGAGCGGUUUUCUUCUGGCAAUUAUGGUACUAUAGCACGUUGCUGAUGGAAGGCGGUCAAGAAAAAGAUUAUUUGCAGUUGUGCCUCAUCGUCACUUAUUUGCCAAAUGAAAUUUUAAUUGCUGCUGUUAUCCCCGGCUAUAGUGUCUACGGUGGCGAGCUUUCUCCGCGGACCUUCAACUUCAAGACCUUCUACUUCAAGACCUUCAACUUCUAAACAACUAAAGGGAUAUUCUCGUCAUACUGCACUGUCCAUGACGUGCAUGUCGGGUCAUCGACAUGCAUGUUCAAUACCAUUAGUGCACAUGCUGCACCAGACUAUAUUUACGGACGUUGACUGUUUGCUUUAGGCACUGUUUCAAGCAUUGUACGAUGGCCGAUAACAAAAGUAUUUGUUAACGUUUUCAAGUUCCAUUCGGAGUAUCCGAAACUACGACGCAAUGUUAGUCGGAACUAACGUAUCUAGUUAAUCAUGUUAUCGCAUGAUGUUCUUGCUCAUUGGCAAACAUUAUUUCAGCAGUCGAUACGUCCUCCAAACUUCAGUAACUGUUACUAUAUAGUCCCCGUUCGUCACAAACGACCGUUGACAUUUUGUCAACCUCAAAUUCGAAUAUAUUAACCGUUUACACGCACGAGAAUAUCCCUUUAUCCAAACUAGCAAGUGUGUCUACUGUUUUCUUACUAGGCAAACAAAAGUUUGUCACAGCAUGUGCGCAGUUCACUUUACCUAUGUGCAUUCAUACUAAAAGCCAUUCGUCCACAAGCAAGUUAUUUAUUUGCGCUAUUGACGUAAGCUUUCAUGAAGGCCAAACCAAUGCUGAUUCGUCAAUGCUGAUUGUCAGCUUGAAAGUAAAGAUGAGCAAAGUGGUUCAACUGAAUCUUAUGGUUGCAGUAGGGCAUAUUAGAAGUAAGUGACAAGUAUGUGUCAGCAAUUGUUUAUGCUUCUUAACCCUAGAUACUUUUGAUUCAAUCCUUGUGGUGAUGACGUAAUGUGGCAGAAAACAGUAGACACACUUCAUCUCAUCGGAAACCCUGAAUGAUUGGUAUUUGUGAGCAUGUGUGCCUGUGAGUGUGUAAGGGUGGAUGUGGGUGUGUGGGUAUGUAUGUGCGUAUGUGAGGGUGUGCGUGUCAUCUUACACGUAAUUUAGUGAAUGAGUGAAUUGGUACUAGUUUUCAAGUAAAUACGUGCAUGAGUGCGUGUAGUCAGUGGUGUAUGGAACUAGCAUUGUGCCUGCCUGCUACCAACGAAAUAUGCAAGCCCACACAGAGAAAACAGUUUUAUUGUGCAAAACUACAUGCUGCUGGCAGGGUUUACAUGCAAGUCACAUAUUGCAGGUCUACCAUAAGCAGAGCGAUGUGACAUCUGAUAAGUACCUAACUCACAGCAACACAUACUCUGCAUGUCCAGGGAAAGUGAGUUGUGCUCGGAACAGAUUGGCCAGACAGUUUUGUCCUAUCAAAUUCAGAAUUGUUUCAUCCUCCUCACAGGUGCCAUUAACAUCAUGAGCACACAUUAUUGCUAGAUCUGAAUGCCAGCUGCCUAUUGCACCGCUGGCACGUAGUUUGAGACAAAGAUGCCGCCAGUUUUCCACCUCGCUGCUGAUACAAUGCAAUACUGCUACAAAAUGUCCGUGUUCUGUGUUUUUAGUGUUGUAUGUUUGUAUAUGAGUCUUGCGUCGUGUGAACAUUACCUACAUGAGUUAAAGUGUUCCCGCGAAAGUAGGUACUGAAUUAGCUCAAGCCAGGAUUGCGUUGCGGAUAUAUUUGUAGGCCAUACAAUGUUUUAUGGCGUCAUUUACGACAUUUCCUGUUUUUCUUGUCGUUGUAUGCACGUGAGUUGUGCCGCAUGUUGCGCUUGUAAAUCAUGUUCUCAAUGUCAUUUUCUUUUGGUACAAUUGGUCACCACUACACAUCACUCGCAUACACUCGCCCAAGCAAGUCGGAUAUCAAUCACUGUCCAGAAGUGCAUGAUGCAUUCAACCACGCAUAGAACACUGGCACACCAAGAACAUGAACUCACGCAAAAACGAGAGGGCUAUCACACGACUUCGCAUUGGACACACCGCUAUCACACACAACUACAUCAUCACAAGAAGCCCGAGACCGAAAUGCAACACCUGCAACACUUUCAUCACUGUCAAACAUCUGCUACUCACAUGCCCACAAUACCAACACCACAGGACACACAUACAAACAUACUGCAGAGACGCCAACAUCCCACUAACACUCACAACACUGCUCGGGGACUUACACCCCGAGCUAACAACACUACUCAUCCACUAAAGACACAACACUGGGCUGAUCAAUGACCUGUAAAUCUCCUCCCCUAGAGCCAAGGACAAAAAAGCCAAAAAAGCCAAAAAAAGAAGCAAAAAAGAAAAAAACAAUAUUCAAAACAAUGAGAAUCAAAAUAAAAAACCCCAGAAUGGCAAAAUGGCAAAAAAAAAAAACAAAAACAAAAAAAAAUAAUAGAAGGGGCAAUCCGGCUACCCGGGAGGAGAUAGCUAGGAACCCAGUCCCACCCCUCAGCCCACCCUUGCGAGCCAAGAAGACAACGGACACUUCAAGGCAACGGACGGACCAACAACGAAGACGGACGACAGAACCGGGCCCAAAUACAGGACGCUGUGGUGGCCCGUAAGCUACAAAUACCAUACCAUACCAUACCAGUGCAUCAUGCAGCAGAAUAAGCUUCAUUGAACACACUCGUCAUCAUGAACGGCAUCUAGGAGUUUCAUGAGUUUGGAUCUGUGACCAGCUGAUUUCGCAGUAUCCAAUGGCAACCGUGUAUGACCAGGCGCCGCUUGGACGCCUUGUCCAGUCACGUCUUCUGGGACUGUGUGAUGACUGCCUCUGCAUUCUCAAGUGCCAGUUUCUGCCUCCGGCCCAUUUCAUUAUCAAAGGAUGCUGUUAGCUUAACGAACAGCUCUGCUCCAAGAUUCCAAACGGUUUUACGGUACUGUAUGCCUACAAAACGUUAAUAUUUUUUGGAGGCGGUAAUACUCGGAUGAACUGACCUUUAUGGGUGGGUAUUCAACGUUGAAUAAAGUAGGCUUGUAGCCCUCUGCCUAUUGACUUCUAAGGGUUUUAGUAAUAUUUAUCGAAUAUCUCAUCUGAAAUGCAUUUUCACUCACAGUCGUCGAAAUCGAAAAAUCAUAAGCUUAGAAAUCCGCGGACUUGACAUAUUAUAUUUUAUCGACGAUUCGUUUCGACUUGCUGUCAUGUCAGCUAAUCAUCCGUUGCUUCUCCUAUUUUCACAGGUGCAUUACCAGUCAUCUUUACCGUCGAUACCGUUGAAGAUUUUACCGUCGAUCACGGAGCACCCAUUGCGCUGGCCGUUGCUGGCACUUUUUUAUUUGUCACUAGCUAUUAGUUAUCUGCAGAUAUACAUUAGCCACCUGUACACCCGCUUACACUAGCUCUCAUCAUCUAGUUCUACGUAUGUGUGUGUUUGUUUUAAUUGUAUUGCCGAUGAAUUCGGUAGACAUGCUCCGCCCGCAAACAUGUACCACAUGAUGCAGUUCACUGAAUGUAGCAGUUAAUCACUCGUAAAAAGCGGUCAUGUUUUCGUAUAGUGUAGGUAUGCAUCUAUGUAAGCAUGUGUUCACACUCAUGAGCGAUCCACACAUGAUAUUGCAUUUCCUGUUCAGUUAUAUUUUUAGCACUGGAACACGAUGCUCAUACACUGUGUUGUUAUCUUUCUUUUUUCGCCUGCUCCUUCCUCCAACUUGUGUCUUUGAGUAUUUCAGUCACAUGCUCAAACGUUCUUAAAUGCUCUCGCCAUCGGUUUACGGAUGCGUUGAAAACGGACAUGUGAUGACCAAAUUUAACAAUAUGCGGACAAUGGAUCGACUUCUUGAAGCCUGUGGACGUGAUACACCUUCUCCAUCACCAUCAAGAGGUCAACAUUUUCGAAGACACUUGCGUACGGCUGCAGUGUCCGGCGCAAUGCUGAAUGCGACCUGUUAUCUGUUGGAUCUACUCUGUGAGCCCGAACCCCAGUGCAAUGGCACUGUUCGACUAUAGCGCUGGACGUCGUCUACUUUUUGCUAGAGGGAAAGGUCAUCAUCCGUCCAUGAACUUCGGGCUGCUCACAGCUAUAUUGCCUUGGCAAGUUCUUUGAGCACUCAAUACUGGACUUGGGCUGCGAAAGCUAAUGACAAUUUGGGGAGCUUGAUAUUGCAAUGGCUAUGACGUGAAGGCUCAAUAUGACGAACAGCUCGACUAUUCACCAUUGUCAACGCUUAUGAUAGCUAAAUAUCAUUGUGCUUGGUGUACAUUCACGUCUCGUUUCCUUGCUCCAUUUGUACCUCACCGGUCGUCCGUCCCCACAGGCCUCGGCUGCAGCACAAGCCACAUUCAUCGGCCCAAUCAUCAGUUAUUCAUCCUGCAAGUUUUAAGUCACUUCGUUGUGACCCGGACAUCGUCAUCUUUCAACGAGUUCAAAUGAUUAUUUCAUUCAUCAUCGUCGAUCAGACUCAUCAUGUAAAGACACUUCCAUAAUGCUAGCCGCCAUCUACGUUUGUGCAGGAAGCAAAUAUCAGGUUGUUAUUAGCUGCGGGCUACUCAGUACCGACUGAACUACUGGCAGUAGUGUGCGAGCACCUAAUACUUGUAUUGUGAUACCAAAGCUAAAACGGAUGAAAGCUUAGCACAUAGGGCCCUACCGCUUUCCACACACACAAACAAAACUUGACUUUGGGCAUUAGCACCAUGGCAGGAUAAACAGGCAGUUUCGCUGUUUUUCACUGCUUUCAUUGGGAGGUGUUACUGCUCAUUCCCGUUCUAUGUGAUGUUAGAACAGCCCUUCACCAUAGUCCUGUUUUCUCCUUUGCCGUUUUCCAUAGACAUCAGAUGCGACAUGCACUCCAACGAUCGGUCAGGCGCAUCACCGUCAAUCCGGUCGCCUGUUAAGCAGUUCGUAAUCACCGUCAGUCUUCGACAUCUGUCAACACACUUAUCCACAUUAUCGCCUUACUUUUGAUCUUAUCAAUAUGCAAGAAUGAGUGCAAAAUGCAUUCCAAUAUUGCAUCAGUUGAUGUUGUAUCGCAAUGACACCGCGUCCUCACCUCACAUCUGUUGUGCAUACUUGAUCACGAAUGCCAGUUAUACGCAGAUUCACAUGGUGAAGUUUUACUCCGUUGACGUUUUCUUUCCAUUCUUGUAGUCGAUCAAGAGGGAUUACAGUUGCACAUGCGGCCUUACACAUGCGUUCUUACAUGUUAGCUGAUUGAUAUGUUGGACACACUGGUUCCUGUGACUCCAAGUAGUUCUGCAUUGGUAUUGCUUCACUUUAUAUGUUCUACCCAAAGAUCGUUUCUAGUUUUGUCUUAGCUUGCAGCUGUAUGCCAUGAACAUACAGGGUACUGCGCAUCUUUAUCGUGACAUUCCUGUAGUUUCGUCACUUUCGCGGAUGAUUAGGACCAUGAGCUCAGUUGCAGAUGCGUCCAGCAGCCACCGACAUUUCUACACUUUAAAUUCCUAGUCUCGGAUCUUAUCCACAUGCCAACAUGAUUUGAACAUUUCACACGUUUAGUGAUGAAAUGAGCAGGUAUCAUCUACUACAUUAUAUUUUCAUGUAAAGCACACUCCAGUCUGUGAAAAAAGAAAACCAUUAGGAGCAACAAUCAUGCCUUAGACAGUAUAGUUGCCAUAGAUAUUACGUUGUGCAGCGGGCAGGCCGGUGCACGAAAUGGCGAGUGUGAAUGCAGGAAUGCGUGUGAAAAACUGCCUAGGUGUGGAGUGGCUGGUUUGUCUUCCGUUACAUCGUAACGGGCUCUUGACGUAGUCUUUUUUUAGUAACACCAAUCAUCUUUCGAACUUGAAUUAACGUAAUUGAAAGAUGGCUAUCACAUUUGGAGCCAACUUUUUUGCUAACUGCGUCAAGGGCGGGCAGCGCGGUGCGUGGAUGCCUUUUGGUAAAGCUCACGUCCUAAUAUACUAUCCAGCCCUUACCAAGCGUGCAUCCAUGUUUCCUCCAUCCGGCUCCUCGUGCCGCUGCCUGGAAUAUUAGCCUACGGCUAAUAUACCAAGAGAUGGAAAACUUUUCGUUGGUAUGGAAUAUGGAUGCCUCGUGGUUCAACUGGUGAUGUUCAAAACAACUGUACCGUGUGUCAGGUAGGUCUUACUCACUUUCCGCUUCAUUUUUUUCUCGGCCGCGUAGGAAAUAUGAUUUGACGGUAAUCGUGGCGCUUUUGUUUCAGUGGCUGAAUGACAGCGACAUCUAUAACUCAGGCUGCACUCAGAGCCCGAGUCUGAGUUUGGCUGAAAAAAUCGCCCAUAAAAAAUUCGCCCAUCGCCCGCCCGCCGCGAAACGGGUGAUUUUGUUUUUGCGUCGUUUUCGGUAAAAGGUUUAUUUUCGGUUGGCGGCGGCCGGGCGCAUUUUUGCGGUUUUUGCGUUUGACGGCGGGCGGCCGUUUUUUGCGGCGUUUUGCG